UUUUCAAGAAGAUGGAAUUGCACAAGCUAGCAGAUAUGCUACUGAGGAUUCAAUUAAGUCAUGGCUUAAUGAAUUACUUUGCUUGGAUGUUGCAAGUUACAUUCCAAAUAUCACUAUGUUAGUAUUCUUGAUGAAAAGUAAAUAAUUGUUUUUCAGGUCAUUCUCUAAAUGAUCUUUUAUUUGUCUAGACUUCCACAUCCAAGUGAAUGUGCCCUUUACUAUGUCAACCGAGAUAUACUUUUCUAAUAUCACAAGGAGAGUGAGAUAUGUUUAUAGGUUUGUCUCUCCAUUGUGGAAUUCAAUGAUAUUUUUUCUCCUCAUAGAGAGAAGACUACACUUGAGCAUGAGCCUAGCUUGUGGUUGCUGCAGUUGGCUUCAAGGCAAGAAGGCCUGAGAUCCCAAGUACUGUAAAUAGACAUGUGGCUGCCAUAAUUGAGUCCUGUUGGGCCAGGUAUAG